rnacentral:rRNA from 1 species
GCACAAGCGGUGGAUGAUGUGGUUUAAUUCGAUGCAACGCGAAAAACCUUACCCACCUUUGACAUGUACGGAAUUCGCCAGAGAUGGCUUAGUGCUCGAAAGAGAGCCGUAACACAGGUGCUGCAUGGCUGUCGUCAGCUCGUGUCGUGAGAUGUUGGGUUAAGUCCCGCAACGAGCGCAACCCUUGUCAUUAGUUGCUACGAAAGGGCACUCUAAUGAGACUGCCGGUGACAAACCGGAGGAAGGUGGGGAUGACGUCAAGUCCUCAUGGCCCUUAUAGGUGGGGCUACACACGUCAUACAAUGGCCGGUACAAAGGGUCGCAAACCCGCGGGGGGGAGCCAAUCCAUCAAAGCCGGUCGUAGUCCGGAUCGCAGUCUGCGACUCGACUGCGUGAAGUCGGAAUCGCUAGUAAUCGUGGAUCAGCAUGUCACGGUGAAUACGUUCCCGGGCCUUGUACACACCG